AAGUCGUAACAAGGUCUCCGUAGGUGAACCUGCGGAGGGAUCAUUAACACGUUUUAUUUACUAAAACAAACCAAAUUUUUUCUGUGAACCGAAACUAAACCUUUUUUUAACCCAAUAAACAAUAACCCAUGAACAGCACACUGUCGGUCUUCGGACUGGUCAGAUAGUUGUACUAAUCACAACCAAAACUUGAGAUCUACCUCGGCUUUACUGCUGUGGCUGGCCUCCUGUUUAUAUCUAAAACUACAGAACAACUCUUAGCAAUGGAUAUCUUGGUUCUC
rnacentral:misc_RNA from 1 species